rnacentral:rRNA from 1 species
AUUGAACGCUGGCGGCAUGCCUUACACAUGCAAGUCGAACGGCAGCACGGGAGCAAUCCUGGUGGCGAGUGGCGAACGGGUGAGUAAUAUAUCGGAACGUGCCCAGUCGUGGGGGAUAACGUAGCGAAAGCUACGCUAAUACCGCAUACGAUCUAUGGAUGAAAGCGGGGGAUCGCAAGACCUCGCGCGAUUGGAGCGGCCGAUAUCAGAUUAGGUAGUUGGUGAGGUAAAGGCUCACCAAGCCGACGAUCUGUGGCUGGUCUGAGAGGACGACCAGCCACACUGGGACUGAGACACGGCCCAGACUCCUACGGGAGGCAGCAGUGGGGAAUUUUUGGACAAUGGGCGAAAGCCUGAUCCAGCAAUGCCGCGUGAGUGAAGAAGGCCUCGGUGUAAG